AGGAUGAACGCUGGCGGCGUGCCUAACGCAUGCAAGUCGAACGUCCUGUCUCGCAAGAGGCAGGGAGUGGCGGACGGGUGAGUACCACGUGGGUCAUCUACCGUGAGGUGAGGAAUACCGGCGAGAAAUCGCCGACAAGACCGCAUAGGCUCGAUGCAAGUCGAGCAAAGCUCUUUCGAGAGAGGGAGCGCCACACGAGGAGCCUGCGCCCGAUUAGCUAGCUGGUGGAGUAACGGUUCACCAGGGCGACGAUCGGUAGCUGGUCUGAGAGGACGAUCAGCCACACUGGGAUUGAGAACGGCCCAGACUCCUACGGGGGGCAGCAGUGAGGAAUUUUCGUCAAUGGGGGCAACCCUGAACGAGCAACGCCGCGUGCAGGAAGAAGGUUUCGGAUCGUAAACUGCUUUUCUCGGGAAGAGAACGGACGGUACCCGAGGAAUCAGCCCGGCUAACUACGUGCCAGCAGCCGC
rnacentral:rRNA from 1 species